rnacentral:tRNA from 1 species
GUUUCGGUAAUGUCCUAAGACCCUUUUUC